AAUCCGUGCAACGGCAUCAUCCAGACAUCGAGGUAAUAACACAAUUGUGGAAAUAUAUCAUCCAUAACCAUAUAAUGGAUAUUACAAAGUCGCUGAAGAAAUACAUUCUAUUCUCUGGUAUUGCCUUCCUUCCUCUUGGUUUUGUGGUCAUAAUUUGCGACUCCAUGACUCAUGCUGAGAAAGAAGAUAGCUUGAAACCACGGAAGAGCGGAACAACGUUUUGGGUCGGAUUACCUUACUUUGUUCUCGGUUUUUUCAUGAUAUACUUGAGUACAGAUCAAAAGGAGCUUCAUGUGAAGACAUGCAGAAUAGGUAGCAUACUUUGUUUUGUAUUAUCAGUGGUGGCCAUGGUAUUUGAAGGUCCUGAUUGGAGUUACUACGUCACUUAUGGAAACUACGUCUGUGAAAAAGGCAGCUCAAGUACAUGUAGUAAAACGACAGGGCUGUCAGCUCUUUUUGGUUCAAUAACCGUGGCAGCAAUCAUAGCUAUUUUACUUUGUAUCAGUAAUAUCCUUAUAUGCAACUGGCUAUUGUUCAGGAUGUCGGUGGAAACACCGGAAAUGGACUUCGAAAGACGUAAUCGGAAGCAUGCACAAUCUGCAGUAUCAACCCAGGUAACAGAGGAGUCCGAUAAUUUUUUCAAAACGCAAGGUUAUCAUACAUGUUGGACAGAUGAUGACAAAGAGGCAAAACAGCAGCCCCCAACAACUGGAAAAGAAGCGAUUAAGGAAGAUGACCAGGCAGACAAAGAUACUUUGCAAUUAUAGAGAUUGCAUGUUUUAUAUAUGCAUUAUGUUGUAAAUUCAUUAAUUGCAAAUUAUGGAUAUUCUUAUAUCAAAAAUGUACUCCUAUAAGCUGAUCAAUAAACUCGGGAUUUUCUGUGGUUAGACGAAUAGUAGCUUCCUCCAAAUAAUUUAUCAAAUGUAUUUAGUUUUUAAGACCCAAAGUGACCAAUAUUACGGACUGUUAGCGAUCUCUAUUUUCUGAAGCGUUAAAAUAGCUACAUUAGGGAACAUUCCUGUGCAUCCUGCACAGAGAGCUGCUUCCCACACGCUACUUGCAGAAAAAUAUGCAUUUUUAUCCAUUACUUAAGAAAAACACCUGCUGUUUUUAAAUAACAACUAUAUAGCAAUCCUAGUUACUUUGCAGUGUAUAUCGGCAUCACAUAGCUGCAAUACAUAAACAUAAAUAAAUUCUAAGUUUCCAGACAUAAAAUGGCAGUCAUGAUACCGAUUCAAAGUAAAUGGGGGUUAAUAACAGUUGGCCUUGGUUAUCUCAUUUUUGGCACCAUGUUAACAGUGCUGUUUUUCUUCCUUGAUUUCGCGGAUACGGAUAAAGACGUACAUUACAGUGAAGACCAUGCACAAUAUUGGCUUGGAUUACCGGCGAUAUUUCUUGGGAUGAUUGUCUUGUUAGGUGGAGGACAAAUGUCAAAUAAAUCGAAACUCCUUCGAGUAUGUCUGAGUAUCUAUUGUUUCAUUACCGCCGUUGCGAGUAUUGUUCUCGAAGCUCCAGACUGGAUGAGGUACCUAUCUGAUAAUCGAUCACCUGACAACAUUUGCAAGCUAGCCAUGAUCGCUGUGCCCGGAUUACAAAAAGAGAUGCAGAAUUCAAAGUAUAUUUGUAAGCGGAGGACGUCGUACGCAUGGUCUGUUGGUUUUAUCAUGGUGUCUGCUGUUUUUUUGAUUAAUUUCAGUGUAUGCUCUAUUUUAUUGCAUGCAUGGUUGGCUAUAAAAGACCAGAUGGCGUACAAAAUGCCAGAUUUUCCUGCAUAUGCAGUCCAAGAGGAAUACAGAAGGCCCAAAACAAAGACCGUUAACAAGGAUGGAACACCGAAUAGAGGUUUUCAAGAAAGCUGAGUAGAAAAUGCAGAAGUGCAACAUAGUAUAGUUGUGGGUUCAGGAAGACAUGAUUCCGCAUGAAUUUAGUUUAAUAGAAAAAGACUAUGCAAAACCUACCAAAAUGUACACAUUCAGUAGACAAUAUCAAAGUAGUAUUCUUUCCUUUAUAAAGUUUCUAUAAAAACAUAAAACCUAGAUUAUUAAACACAAG
rnacentral:lncRNA from 1 species